rnacentral:rRNA from 1 species
UUCCUUGAACCGCAUGGUUCAAGGAUGAAAGACGGUUUCGGCUGUCACUUACAGAUGGACCCGCGGCGCAUUAGCUAGUUGGUGGGGUAAUGGCUCACCAAGGCGACGAUGCGUAGCCGACCUGAGAGGGUGAUCGGCCACACUGGGACUGAGACACGGCCCAGACUCCUACGGGAGGCAGCAGUAGGGAAUCUUCCGCAAUGGACGAAAGUCUGACGGAGCAACGCCGCGUGAGUGAUGAAGGUUUUCGGAUCGUAAAGCUCUGUUGUUAGGGAAGAACAAGUGCGAGAGUAACUGCUCGCACCUUGACGGUACCUAACCAGAAAGCCACGGCUAACUACGUGCCAGCAGCCGCGGUAAUACGUAGGUGGCAAGCGUUGUCCGGAAUUAUUGGGCGUAAAGGGCUCGCAGGCGGUUUCUUAAGUCUGAUGUGAAAGCCCCCGGCUCAACCGGGGAGGGUCAUUGGAAACUGGGAAACUUGAGUGCAGAAGAGGAGAGUGAAUUUCCACGUGUAGCGGUGAAAUGCGUAGAGAUGUGAGGAACACCAAGUGGCCGAAGCAACUUCCUCUGGUCUUGUAACUGACGCU